rnacentral:rRNA from 1 species
UAUCAGUACUCGCCCUAGCAAGGUGAAACCGCGAACGGCUCAUUACAACAGCUAUAAUCCACUCGAUCUUGAGCAGUUACUCGGAUAACUGUGGUAAUUCUAGAGCUAAUACGUGAAGCAAAGCUGUAUUCAUUUGGAUGCAGCGCAUUUAUUGGAGCAAAACCAGGCGGCUUCGGCCGUUCACUGUUGACUCAGAAUAACUAAGCUGAGCGMAUGGUCUUGUACCGGCGCCGUGUCGUUCGAGUGUCUGCCUUAUCAACUUUCGAUGGUAGUGUAUGUGACUACCAUGGUUGUGACGGGUAACGGGGGAUAAGGGUUCGACUCCGGAGAAGGGGCCUGAGAAAUGGCCACUACGUCCAAGGAUGGCAGCAGGCGCGCAAAUUACCCACUCUCGGUUCGAGGAGGUAGUGACGAAAAAUAACAAGGUGGUUCUCUACGAGGCCCACCAUUGGAAUGGGUACAACUCAAACCCUUUAACGAGUAUCAAUGAGAGGGCAAGUCUGGUGCCAGCAGCCGCGGUAAUUCCAGCUCUCAAAAUGCAUAGAACCAUUGCUGCGGUUAAAAAGCUCGUAGUUGGAUCUGUGCCGGCGUCGUGGUCCACCCUAACAGGCGGCACUGCGCGCGUCGGCUUUGGGCCGGUCUUCGUCCGGGGGCCUUAACUGGUCCGUCGGCCGUGGCUGGCUGGUUUACUUUGAGCAAAUCAGAGUGCUCAGCACAGGCGUUUCGCCGGAAUGUUCGUGCAUGGAAUAAUAGAACAGGAUCACGGUCCUCUUUUAUUGGUUUUGUGGACUGAGAUAAUGGUUAACAGAGACGAACGGGGGCAUUCGUAUUGCUGCGUGAGAGGUGAAAUUCUUGGACCGCAGCAAGACGGACUACAGCGAAAGCAUUUGCCAAGCGCGUCUUCAUUAAUCAAGAACGAAAGUCAGAGGUUCGAAGGCGAUCAGAUACCGCCCUAGUUCUGACCGUAAACGAUGCCAACUAGCGAUUCGGCGGUGGCUACAAGGCCCUGCUGAGGAGCUUCCCGGAAACGAAAGUCUUCCGGUUCCGGGGGAAGUAUGGUUGCAAAGCUGAAACUUAAAGGAAUUGACGGAAGGGCACCACCAGGAGUGGAGCCUGCGGCUUAAUUUGACUCAACACGGGAAAACUCACCCGGCCCGGACACCGUAAGGAUUGACMGAUUGAUAGCUUUUUCAUGAUUCGGUGGUUGGUGGUGCAUGGCCGUUCUUAGUUCGUGGAUCGAUUUGUCUGGUUUAUUCCGAUAACGAGCGAGACUCCAGCCUACUAACUAGUACGAGCAUUGCCUCUGUGCUCGGCACUUCUUAGAGGGAUUGACUGCGUCUAGCGGUACGAAACGGAGCAAUAACAGGUCUGUGAUGCCCUUAGAUGUCCGGGGCUGCACGCGCGCUACACUGGCAAAGGCAACRUGCUUGUCCGUCUCCGAAAGGAGCCGGUAAACCCUUGAAAAUUUGCCGUGAUUGGGAUCGGAAAUUGCAAUUAUUUUCCGUGAACGAGGAAUUCCUAGUAAGUGCGAGUCAUCAGCUCGCGUUGAUUACGUCCCUGCCCUUUGUACACACCGCCCGUCGCUGCCUAGAACUGAGCCAUUUCGAGAAUAUUCGGGAUCGUUGGUUGCGUGUUCUUCGGGACAUGCCUCCGGCCAGAGAACGAACGUAAUCGCAAUGGCUUGAACCGGGCAAAAGU